UCCCUCAACAGCAGGGGUGAACACUAACACUCUAACCCCCCCCUCUCUCUCUCUAUCUCCCUCCCCUCCUCUUUUCCUCCUUCGUUUCUUGGCGUCAUUCUAAUCCUUCCUCCAUGCUGAGAGCAGAAAGACAGAGAGGGAGAAAAAGAAAAAGGAAAUACAGGAAAGGAGAAUCACUCCUCCUUUCUCCUCAUUUCUUCUCCUUCGUACCUCUGACUCCUCGUUCUUCUUCUUCUUCUUCUGCUUUCCUCUCCUUCUCUCCUCUCCUCCCUGUCUCUCCCUCUGAGGUUUUUAAAGGGUCAGAUGAGAGAUGGGAUGUGGAAAUUCUUCUCCAGCCAACAACAACAACGCCGCCAACAGCAGCAGCAGCAACAGUGAAGGUGGCACGGCAGGUCCUUUUGAGUCGUCAUCAAAGGGUUCAGAGGAGUCUGCUCCAGAAGACGAAAAAUGGAAGUGAGUCAUUCAGUUUUAGUAUUUAUGCCAGUAAGAGAUGAUAUUUAUGAACUUUAAUGACAUUUCUGCAGGUGUGUGUGUGUGAGAUGACAUGAACUGCUGUGUGUGUCCGUGUUUGAACGUGUGUGUGUGUGUGUGUGUGUGUGUGUGUGUGUGUGUGUGUGUGUGUGUGUGUGUGUGUGUGUAUGCAGGAACUACGGAGGUGUGUACGUGGGUUUUCCUGCAGACAUGAGCAACAUCCCUGAAGUUCAGAUAGGAGCCCUUCGAGAGAGUGAGAGAGACUCGUCGUCCCUCAGGAGGCCGCUGUGGGGGAACGGACUCUAAUUUUAAUGAAGAGCCAGAGCUGCAAGGCGCCACAAGAGAAAGACGACGUUGGGGAGAUUUUUGAGUGUGAAGAAGAAGAAGAAGAAGAAAACUCCAGGUGUUCGUCAGGCUGUCAGUGUCGCCUUCAGGAGCCCACAAACUCUCAAAUGAGGACCCUCUGUGAGGACUUAAUGGGACUGUGAGACUGAGAAAGAUCUCUUUUAUGGAAGCGGAUGUCAAACUGGACUCAUGGAAAAAGGGAUGGUGACUCCACUGGGUGCGCUCCAUGAUUGGCGUGUUGGGUAGCUGCUGAAGGCUCAUCAUAUUUGUUCCAUUGUAGAAAGAAGAGUCUUUAUCUACGUUUCUGUAAGAAGUGCUCUGAGGUGCAGGAUAAACAUGUUCGGUGCUCACCUGCUGGUUUGUUUGUUUUGUUUGAGAUGAAAACCUGCAGACUCUUUGGCCCUCCUCCAGGACUCGUGCAGAAAGUGGCUCCUGCUGAGAGAUGACGUCAAGUGAGCGUCUCCUCCUCCUCCUCCUCCGGGAACAUCACGCAGUAAAGAAAUAAAAAAAAGCUGACACUGGAGAGAGAGUUUUUCUUACGUUAACCCUUUGAGCUCCAGAGUGAUGCAGGAGCUGUUCUUUGUACUCCACAAGGAGAGGAUGCAGAUCAUUCGAAGAGAGACUGGAUACCUUUUGUGUUUUUAAAACUAGAUUUAGUUGUGAAGAAGGGUUCACAUUUAAUGGCCGACAAUCAACAAGGGGCAUCGGGGUCAGGGUGUGUGAAUCCAGCCAGGAUACUUCAGUUAUGAUAACAAGGUUUAUUUCUUUAAAUUCAAGUCAAAUUUUCAAUGAACUGGGGUGACUGAAAACACACACGAUAUUUCAAACAUCAGUGUGUUAAAUAAGGAGCGAUCAGGUGAAUUCAAUCGAACUAUCGAGACAACCAAUCAGGGGAAAGGAGAGGAGAAACCAGGAAGUGAGGAAGGUGAAGAAAGGGAAGUGAAAGAUAACAAAAUAAGUGAUCUUUACUACGUUCAUUUGCAGCUCUUUAUUUCGUCAGUGAUCCGGAUCAUGACCAACACGUGAGAGGAUGGAACUUAGACAUGAAC